AGCAAGUCUUCCGGGAACGCUGGAGCAAAAGGCCAAACAGACCAGGCCGGGUUAGAGAAGUCAAUGAGAUUAGUGAAACAUUCUUAAUUAGUUGUUCAUUUUCUGAAAAUCUAAAAGGCACAACCUAGAUUCGAGUUAAUGUCUUAAGUAGUUUAACACGUUAUUACUCCAAUCUCAUGAAAGUGACAAACUGACACGUGAUCAUUUUCGUCAAAAACAACUUUAUAUCAAAGGAGUCCCUCUGAUUUGCGGCGUGCACAUGCGCAGUUAGGCGCCAGGCGACCCUUAGACCAGAUUCGUUGAUUCUGAUCGCUAACGUCGCCAUUACAUCGCCUACAUGCGUGAUCGGGGAUUUCUAUUGGAGAAACCGUUUCGGACUAUCUUCAUACUGUACUGUCUGUCUUUGAUUAUAUAUCAGGGGUGUAGAUGGGAUGAGGGGAAAUGAAGGAACAGACGUCGUUUCAAAGCAUCAAUGAGUAGAUGGAAGAAACACACACAACAACCAUUUGUUUACAUCGAUUCAGAAAGCUUAAAUUCGUUCGACGUAAUGAACUGCAACUCCCACAAACCAUUGCAGAAUUAGCCUUUUUCCGGGUUCUUCGAACUUGCUAGUUAUCAGCUGAAAGCAUAAGGUGGAUGUGUGUUCCGUUGGUGAGCAGCGAUGCCCCUGGAGGUGAAAUGGCCGUUCCCACAGUGCCCGCAGCUGGCCUGGAAGGUGACCAGCACCCUGGUCAUGGGCGUGGUGGGCUCAUACAGCUACUUCUGGACCAAGUAUCUGAACUGUAUUACGGUUCAUAAUCAGGAUGUUCUAUUUGACCUGAUAGACCAACGUCCACCUGACACACCCCUCAUCACACUGUCCAAUCACCAGUCCUGUAUGGACGACCCACACCUCUGGGGAGUUCUGAGACUCAGACACCUCUGGAACUUCAACAAGAUGCGCUGGACUCCGGCUGCGUCGGACAUCUGUUUCACCAAAGAGUUACACUCCAGAUUCUUCAGCAGAGGGAAGUGUAUUCCCGUCUGCAGAGGUGAUGGGGUGUAUCAGAAAGGCAUGGACUUUCUUCUGGAGAAGCUGAAUGGAGGAGACUGGGUACACAUCUUCCCUGAGGGGAAAGUCAACAUGACUGAGGAGUUUAUACGGUUGAAAUGGGGUGUCGGCCGUCUGAUAGCAGAGUGUUCCCUUAACCCUGUUAUUCUCCCUGUGUGGCAUGUAGGUAUGAGCGAUGUCUUGCCCAAUGAGCGACCUUACAUCCCUCGUACUGGACAGAGAAUCACAGUCCUGAUAGGGAAUCCAUUUACAGUCAAAGAUCUUCUGGAGUCUCUCCGACAACAGCAGAAGAGCCAGGACAAGAGGAACUGACGAUGUACUACCCAAUAUAGAAAUAUCACCUUGUGGAUUCUACUGUUACAACUUUAAAGAAUGGAGAUGAGGAAGGCCCUGACAGAUUCCAUCCAGGAGGAGUUUCGUAGCCUGCGGACCAAGGCUGAGGCUCUCCACCAGCGGGUACAGACCACGACCUGAGCCCCAGGCUCCAGCUCGGCCUCCACACCUGGCCCCUACCCUAACCUCAGGGUACCAACUCAAUAUAGAGUGGACAAAGAGACUGACUGUAUACACACACACACAAACAGGAAACUAGAUUCACACACACAUACCUGUGCCUCAUAGUGUGUGCAGUCCAACCUGCUGUCUGAUAAACCAGUGGUCACCAAUGUGAUAAUUGCAAGGAGUAUCCUGCUAUGCACCUCAAAAAUCAUUCAGUCAACAUACAGGCAACGUUGAGAAAACAUUGUUCCUUGCUUCAUGUUUGAAACCAAUUCAACGGGAAUGUCCAUAGAGCCAAUGUUGUGUUUAACAGGCAUUUUAUCAACCGUCCAGUUCUCUCCCGUGUAAUGAAGUCACGUGACUUUCACCUCUGUCCCCACGGUAACAGCAGAACUAUGAGUAGUAGAGAAGUGUGGUUCGCACAGUAACAACAGAACUAUGAGUGGUAGAGAAGUGUGGUUCUCAUGGUAACAGCAGAACUAUGAGCGGUAGAGAAGUGUGGUUCUCAUGGUAACAGCAGAACUAUGAGUGGUAGAGAAGUGUGGUUCUCACGGUAACAGCAGAACUAUCAGUAGUGGAGUGAAGUGUGGUUCCCACAGUAACGACAGAACUAUGAGUAGUAGAGAAGUGUGGUUCUCAUGAUAACAGCAGAACUAUGAGUAGUAGAGAAGUGAAAUGUGGUUCCCACAGUAACAACAGAACUAUGAGUGGUAGAGAAGUGAAGUGUGGUUCUGAUCCUCUGGCAGCUUAGCAGGAAAUGACAUACAGCCAGGAAAAACUACGGGUCCUAAUCACAAAUCCUUUCACUUUGUGCCCUCAAUCUCUCUCUAUUGCACUCCGUUUCUCUUCCGUUGUCCAUCUCUCUCACCCGAUACCUCCUGUUGUACUGUUUCUCUCCCGUUCUCCAUCUCCCUCUGGUUCUCUCCCGUUCUCCAUCUCUCUCUGUUUCUCUCCCGUUCUCCAUCUCUCUCUGUUUCUCUCCUGUUCUCCAUCUCUCUCUCUGUUUCACUCCCGUUCUCCAUCUCUCUCUGUUUCUCUCCCGUUCUCCAUCUCUCUGUUUCUCUCCC